UACGAAGGGGGCUAGCGUUGCUCGGAAUCACUGGGCGUAAAGGGUGCGUAGGCGGGUUUUUAAGUCAGGGGUGAAAUCCUGGAGCUCAACUCCAGAACUGCCUUUGAUACUGAAGAUCUUGAGUCCGGGAGAGGUGAGUGGAACUGCGAGUGUAGAGGUGAAAUUCGUAGAUAUUCGCAAGAACACCAGUGGCGAAGGCGGCUCUCUGGACCGAUACUGACGCUGAGGCGCGAAAGCGUGGGGAGCAAACAGG
rnacentral:rRNA from 1 species